UCUGUCUGGGUGUUCUGGGCGUUUUGCAUUGAUUCAUAGCGAUAAAUAAUCGAUGUUUUUCUUUGUCGUUUUGUCAAAAAUAUCCACGUAUUAUUGUAGAAUGAUAGAUUAGCCUUGUCAGGUCUUUGUGGCAACUAUAAUAAUGAUCCAACAGACGAUUUUCGGCAAGGAAGCGAUGGAAGAGUGGUACAAACUGAAGAAAACUUCAUGGAGAGUUGGAGAAUUUCUGAAGACAAAAGUUUCUUCAAGGCCCUACCACCAAAAGAAAAUGAAACCGAACAACAAGAAAAGUUUUGUUUUUGCUCUAUGAAAAACGAAGUUCAAAUAAAAGAAGACUGUCAGACAA